rnacentral:lncRNA from 1 species
UGCGGGUUCGAGAACUAUGUAGACAUGACCGACACACUCUCUGGCCAAUAACCAAUAACGAGACCUAGAUGUCCAUAUUGGCUCCUACAUAUUCUACGAAGAUCUUUUUCAGUCGAACCACAAUGUGAAGGAUUCAAUCAAUCAUGCAUACUAUUCCCUUUGUCUAUCGAUAUGUUACUUGCCCGAGAUUCGAUUCGAUCAUCGGUAUCUCUAUACCUAGUUCAAUCUCGUUACCGGCAAGUCUCUUCACUCAUUCCUUAAUACAAGAUCACGUGACUAAAUCCUUAGUCACAUUGCUUGCAAGGCUUAUUGUGAUGUUGUAUUAUCGAGUGGGCCUCGAGAUACCUCUCCGUCACAUGGAGUGACAAAUCCCAGUCUUCAUCCAUGCCAACCCAACAAACACCUUCAGAGAUACGUGUAGAGCACCUUUAUAGUGACCCAGUUACGUUGUGAUGUUUGAUACACACAAGGU